rnacentral:rRNA from 1 species
CCUACGGGAGGCAGCAGUGAGGAAUAUUGGUCAAUGGACGAGAGUCUGAACCAGCCAAGUAGCGUGAAGGAUGACUGCCCUAUGGGUUGUAAACUUCUUUUAUAUGGGAAUAAAAUGUUCCACGUGUGGGAUUUUGUAUGUACCAUAUGAAUAAGGAUCGGCUAACUCCGUGCCAGCAGCCGCGGUAAUACGGAGGAUCCGAGCGUUAUCCGGAUUUAUUGGGUUUAAAGGGAGCGUAGGUGGAUUGUUAAGUCAGUUGUGAAAGUUUGCGGCUCAACCGUAAAAUUGCAGUUGAUACUGGCAGUCUUGAGUACAGUAGAGGUAGGCGGAAUUCGUGGUGUAGCGGUGAAAUGCUUAGAUAUCACGAAGAACCCCGAUUGCGAAGGCAGCCUGCCACAGUGUUACUGACGCUGAAGCUCGAAAGCGCGGGUAUCGAACAGGAUUAGAUAUCCCAGUAGUC